GAUGAACGCUGGCGGCGUGCUUAACACAUGCAAGUCGAACGAAGCAGUUAGAACUGAUUUCUUCGGUUUGAUGUUCUUUAUGUCUGAGUGGCGGACGGAUGCGUACCGCGAGGGUAGCCUGCCUUGUACUAGGGGAUAGCAGCUGGACACGGCAGUUAAUACCGCAUAAGCGCUCCUUGUUGCAUGCAAUUGCGUGAAAAACUCCGGUGGCAUAAGAUGGACCGGCGUCUGAUUAGCUAGCUGGUGAGAUAGCAGCCCACCAAGGCGACGCUGAGUAGCCGAGAUGGGGGGGUGACCGGCAACAUUGGGACUGGGACACGGAGCAGAUUCCUACGGGAGGCAGCAGUGGGGAAUAUUGCACAAUGGAGGAAAGUCUGAGGCAGCGACGCCGCGUGAGUGAAGAAGUAAUGAGUUAUGUAAAGCACUAUGAGCAGGGAAGAUAGUGACGGUACCUGACUAAGAAGCUCCGGCUAAAUACGUG
rnacentral:rRNA from 1 species